UACAGAGGGUGCGAGCGUUAAUCGGAUUUACUGGGCGUAAAGGGCGCGUAGGCGGUUAUAUGAGUGUGAUGUGAAAGCCCCGGGCUUAACCUGGGAAGUGCAUCGCAAACGAUAUAACUGGAGUAGGUGAGAGGGUGGCGGAAUUUCCGGUGUAGCGGUGAAAUGCGUAGAGAUCGGAAGGAACGUCAAUGGCGAAGGCAGCCACCUGGCACCAUACUGACGCUGAGGCGCGAAAGCGUGGGGAGCGAACAGG
rnacentral:rRNA from 1 species